rnacentral:lncRNA from 1 species
CUUGUCUCCUGUGCUUCUUUAGGGAUUUGUACCUAACUUUACUGAAAUACCUAUCAAGUAGAGUUUUUUUUCAGGUGCCGGUAAUUUAAUAAGUAACUAGAAGUGCCUGAAGCAAGAGGAGAUUAUUAUCACUACUACCUCACAGAACAAGAAUUCUGGAGAAAGUUGGUAGCACGGUUAGUUCAGUUCUACAUUGUUAUCAAGGACGAUCUCCUUUCUAUCUGUCCAUCAACCAUCCCCAACGAGUUAGAAAAUUGCUCCUCAAGCUCCAACCACCAUCACCUCAAAACCACUCUCAAAAGCAGGAAGAGAAGGAGCGAUAUCCUACCCACUUGUCUCCAUUUUUGAUUAGUGGAAAGGAUUUCCUUUCCAGGUAUGCUUUUCCAGAAGAGUCUAACUUUUGUCUCACUGGCCAGGAAGAAGGCCACAUGGCCAUUCCAGCCAAUCAUGGUAAAGGGGAACAGGAUUACCUAAGUGGCUUUAACCAAUCAUAAUGCAUCCCUGAAUAAUGAGGCCUACCUUCUUUGGGCAUCUUGCUGCUUUAUUUAUUUAUUUAUUUUUAAAUCAGGGCCCAGUUAGCCAGGAAGACAGAAAGAGUGACUGUUGAACAGAGAACCAAUGGUGUCUGCCUCAUCCCUGACUUGGAAUUGCCAGGUUACUGCCUCUCUUUGCCACCACAGCUCUACAGUUCUUGGAGGGCAGGAGCCUUGUCUUAUUCAUCUUUACAUCAUCCAUAACUGGCCCGUAGUAGCAUUCAGUAUGAGUUUUAACAUUUGAAACAUUCAUUUGUCUGAAUACAAACAAAUACAGUAAACAUGGAAAACUACUAAAAUGCUUAAAAAUAUGCUUACAAAAUAAAACAUUAGAUAGAUUCUGCAACGCCUCCCAUGAAAGAUUAAUAGGAAUGCUAUCUUGAUUGUAGACAGUAUGAGAGUCGGUUGAAGAGGAUAAUUAACCAAGGUGAAAUAACAACAAAAACAUUCUGACUCAAUAGCCUAUAGUCAAAAUCCCAUACCCACUGGCUUUCUGAUGUGUGCUUCAAAUACAGUGUUAGUGCCUCACUAUUUAAAUAGUGACCAUGGAAUACAUGGUGCACCAAAGAGAUGCUUACACUAGUGAAAACGAACACUAAUGAAAUUUUACUGGAGGCCACAGACAACCACAAUUAUUGAUUUUACAUGAGAUCUACUACUUAUUAAAGCCUUUUGCAAUUCUUGGACUUCAGAGGUUAUCAAGAAACAGACUAAAUCUCUCUGAAUUGGGUCCUUUCAACAAUUCUGAUUACACUCACCUGAUAUUUCAUUUUAAAUUUCAUGUUUAUAAACACAUUCCCCUCUCAUUCUAAGACCAGAGGUCAGACAUUAAUUGCUCUCCAAGGAUGGCUUUGCCCAAUUUGGGAACGGGCCAGAUUGUUGUGUUAGAAAUUUUCCUCAGUCAACAACCUUUUUGAAAAGACCAAUUCAUAGAAGGCGUGGAUACAUUUAGAGAAAAACAGCUCUCUAAAGGAUGUAAGAAGGGUAUAAAAAUCACUAUAAACUCAACUAUGUGUGUAAGAACAUUUGCAACUGUACAUUUUCCGUAAAAUAAUUUAAUUUUAUUAUAAGCUCCCAUUGGGCCAUGCAGGUAGAAAAUUUAACUCAGUCAUUAAGGUUCCCUGUCCACCAAUACCAACAUGGGUCUGUGGCGUGCUUCCAAGAUUCUAUGCAGGUCCAAGAUAUCUUGAGGGUAGAAGAGGCCCUCUGGUUACACAUCAUCUAUCCACACAUUUUCUCACGUCUACAGAUUGCUGUGAGGCCAUUUUUCCACUGAUGUGGGAAAUUAUUUUCUCAUCUCUACCCCUUUCUCCCAGCCUAGAGAAAUCUUUCUUUCCUUGGGAAGUAACUAUUGUAGUUAAACAUAAAGGAUAACUCUAAAGAAAUAAGGUUGCUUUCUGUAUAAUUCACACAUCAUUCUACACAUUUAAAAAAAAAAUUUACCAGAACAUGAAAUUGUUUCUAAUGCUAUAAAAAGGGAACAAGGCAUCGAGGUUAUGAACACGAACUGUGAGCCAGUCUGCCUGGGUUUGAUAUAUGACCUUGGGAAAUUUAUUUUACCUCACUUUCUUCAUCUGUAAAAUAGAGACAAUGCAACUAUUUCAAAGGAGCUGUCACGAGGUUUAUAUGAGAUAAACAUAUAAAGUAUUCAAAACAGUACUUAGCAUUUAAUAAGUAUUGUAACUAUUGCCAUUUUUAUUUCUAUAAUAAUAUUGAAAAUUAAAAUAUAAAAAUGUAUACAGGCUGAGCAUCCCUAGUCCAAAACUCCAAAAUGCUCACAAAUCCAAAACUUUCUAAGUACCAACAUGACAACAUAAGUGGAAAAAUUUACACCAAACCUCAUGUGAUGGGUCUCAGUCAAAAUGCAGGCAAAACUUUGCACAAAAUUAUUUAAAAUAUUGUACAAAAUUACACUCAGGCUAUGUAUAUAAAGUGUUUAUGAAACAUAAAUGAGUUUUGUGUUUAGAUUUGGACUCCAUCCCCAAGACGUCUCAUUAUGUACAUGCAAAUAUUUCAACAUCCAAAAACUUUUGAAAUCCAAAACACUCUGUUCCCAAGCAUUUCAGAUAAAGAAUACUAAGUCUGUAUUUUACAUUUUUUUGUACAUUCAGUAAAGGACCUAUUAUGAAUCAUAUGCUGAGGCUUCCAUGAUAAAUAAGUUGGGAAUGGAUUAGCUAGACAUGUCAAGAUGCUUGGGAUAGUUAAGCCCUUUGAAAGAGGUAACACAGGAUGCAGUGAAACAAGGGUCAUUUAACUAUCUUAGAGGAUGAGACUGGGUUUUUCAGGCGAAGAACAGAGGAAGUCUCUCUCAAGAAGAGUAGCAGCGUGUAAACUCUGGAAGUAAAAAGAAAUACGGCUUAUUUGAAAAAUUGCUAAGCAUAACUAGGAGAUCAAGGCAAUAGUCUUGCUUUAGAGAGAAAUAAAGUUCAAGACAGAAGUAAGGGCCAAAUCAUCAAAGCCCUGUGUGCGCAGUGGUGUUUGCACUUCAUCUUGAAAGCUCGGGGGAGCUAUCAAAGAGCAAUGUUGAGGAUCAGAUGAAUGCAACAGGCAUAUGACUAUGGAAAACAGAAGAAUUGAAAGGAUAAGGCUGGGUAUGGGAACGAUUCUCUGGAGUCCAUGGCAGUUAUCCUGGUGGGAAAAAUAAAACAACUGAAGGAUGGAUUAAAGUAUAGUAGUGGUAAUGGAGCUAAAGAAAAGAGGAAAGCCUCAAGAGAGAUUAAGGUCAAAAACAUGAUAAGUCUUAUGACUUUGGGGCAUGGGAGUGAAGAAGGGAUUCAUAAACACCCAACAUCCUAGGCUGAGCAACUAAGUGGAAGGUAGACAGAGAAGCAAAUCUGGAGAAAGUCCUCUGCCUAGAACCUCUCCCUGCAGAGAGCCCGUGACUCUCUUAUUUACCUUGCUACAGUCUGGGCUCCAGGCCACCUCUCUGAGAGGGCUUCCUUGACUCUCCCACCUAAAAUGCAAAUACCGUCAUCCUCCAUUACCUUGAUUAAUUAGUGGUAUUUUUCUUCAAUGCAUUCAUCUGUUCCUGACAACAUACUGUAUUGUUUUCUGCUCAUCUCGCCCAUCAGAACACAAGUUCCAUGUAGGUAGGAACAGUGUAUUUCUCAUUUGCUCCAGAGUGAAUCUCCAGAGAUGUAUAUGCCUGGGACAGAGUAGCUGCUCAGUAAAUAUUAAUUGUGUGAGUGAGCGAUGAGUUCAGUGCAGGACAUGUUGAAUUUUAGGUUUCUGCAGCACCUACGGUAGGACUUACUGAGAUGCUGAGUAAGCAGUGAAAAUGCAGGUCUGAUGCUCGGAAGGAAAGCGGGGCUACAUCCAUCAGUGCCGCAUGCAUCAGCCCAGUGAUGAGGAUAGCCGGGAUGAGGGGGCUGUGGGUGAUAUCCUCCCCAGGGGAGUGGAAAAGAGAAGCCAAGGAUGAAUUCCUGAGAUCUUCUACAUUUAAUGGAGAAGAAUAAGAGUCUGAAAAGCAUCUGGGGCAGUUAAAGAAAACCCAGGAGGUAGCGAUACCAUGAAAGCCGAGAAAACAGUUUCAAGGAAAAGGUUUGAUUAACAACAGGGCCAAAACCACAGAAGAGUCAAGAGAAAGAUGUCCUGUUAAACACAUAUAUAUAUAUAUAGUUUUCUCUCUCUCUCUGUCUCCCUCCCUCUCUUCCCCCAGCAAAAUACCUAAUGCAAGAAGUCAAGAUUGGAGAACCAAAGCAUUUUUCUUCUGAUCUUUAACCACAAUCCCACAUUAUCCAUCAUUUCUUUAACUGUAAAUUUCUAUUAUAGCUUCUUAUCACAGUUUCUAGCCCAUAGAUUACUGUAUUUUACAAAUAUAUAUAUUUAGAAGCAUAUAUAUAUGUAGAGAGAGAGAGAGAAGCAGCCUUACAAAAUUAAUUCUAAUUAUUUUCAAAAUCAAAAGUCAUUUCAGUUCUAGGUCAGAGCUCCCAGGAUCGCCUAUGAAAAGUUCUGAAGGAAAAACCUGGAUAACAUUUCUCUUUCCACAAGUCUCGCAAGGACAUUCAGACCAUCUGAUUCAUAACUCCCAGGAGAUCAGGCUGAUCCAGCACUUGUCCUUGUAAAAGCCGAAACCCUUUCCUUGGGAUGCAGCAGCCUUAUCACAUGACCUCGGCUGGCC